CGGAAGCACUCCCGUUAAAUCGGUUAAAUGUUUCCUCUGGCUCUUGUCGGGACAUUCGGGGUUAUUGUGAUUGACGGGGAUAAUUCAUAAUCAAGCGGGUAUUCAGAAAUAUUCGGCUAUACCUCUCUCAAGGUAAGUCCCGUGAUUUAUACCGUAUCGCGGCGGUCAACGCCGAAAAUUGGGUCAUGAAUUGUUGUCUGCUCUUUGUCGCGCGUCCCAAUUUCUUUACUUCGCCGCGUGCAACGCGAAUGCAGACGUGAGUCAUUCAAACAACAUGAAGUACGGGGGAGAGAAAAACAGCGAAGACAUUCAACAAAUUUGGAAAGACGAACGCUUUCUAAAUAUUCUGGAUAGAAGCAUCUGUUUUUAGAACGAUCAGAAGCGAGUACAUUUACGACCGACAACUCAUCAGCACGAGCAAACAAAAUUUAAUUACUUAAAAAUGGUUAAGGGUUAGGAAUAAAAUUGUUAAUAUUGUCCACCAUAUUUUUGUGAAGUCUUGAUCCUACUGCGAACCUUUUGUUACCCUUUGAUAAAUUGCAAGUGCAAUUAAAUCUAUUAUUUGAAAUAUAUACACGUGUAACGUACAUGUUUGAAUAUACAUAUAGUACAUAUACCAUGCAAUUAUUCGUCAUAAGAUAUACACACAUGUUGUCGUCAGGCUUGAAAAGGUUAAAUACUGCAAACAGCUCUAGAAACGAAUGAGCUACUAUUAUUGGCAUGUAUUUCGCAAACAUACUUCAUUGAAGCGAGCAGAGUAAGCAAAUGCAGUCAUGAGUCACCCAGACGUCGCGUGGAAAUAUACUAUUAUGGGCAGAAAAUAGAAAUAUUUAACAAGAUUCUUAUUCGUAAUAAGUGUAAUGACGAAGGAAGAAAUGGAAACUUCAAAACUUCAAAACACUGCAAAGCAUCCGCAGGUCGCAAAAUAAUAGUAUUUUGCUUCACGCUACGACCAAACGAUGAAUUUACGACGACGAUGAGAUGCUGAUUUUAAACGAUUGAACCCUGAACCUGUUAUAUCGUUAUAUCAUGCUGGAGGGCAGAGUGUAAUUGUAGUACACGAGGUUGUCACCACUGGAAUGUAUCAAUGAAGAUGUCGAUCAAAGGAUUGUCAUCCCUCCGAUUACGUAACAUAAUCACGCUCGCAUUGGAAGGUUGAACAUACGUAACAAGGAUAUAAACAAAUCUAAGGAACGCUAAAUUUGUCAGUACCCUCUCUGGUUGCCUUCUAUCUAUUAGGUAACACAAUCUGAUCGGAUUGAAAGACUAAAAACAUAUGUAACCAGAAUAUAAGCAAAUAUGAAGAACAUUCAUGCCUUUAACACACUUUGGUAUUCAUUUUCAAAAUUUAUAUUUGUUACAUUCUUUUUCUUAAAUGGAUGAUAAUCUAGGCCUUUUGAACGCCUUAAUGUAUCCCCUUAUUUAGAAAUAUUGUAUAUACAAGUAUAAUAUUUAAUAAUUAUACCUUUUAGAAGUUAUGAAAUAGAUUUAUAUAAUACUGUAUCAGUUUACCUUUUAAUAAAGUGAACUAAAUGAAGUAUUA